CCUGGCUCAGGACGAACGCUGGCGGCGCGCCUAACACAUGCGAGUCGAACGAGAGAUGAGGAGCUUGCUCUUCAAAUCGAGUGGCGAACGGGUGAGUAACGCGUGAGGAACCUGCCUCAAAGAGGGGGACAACAGUUGGAAACGACUGCUAAUACCGCAUAAGCCCACGGCUCGGCAUCGAGCAGAGGGAAAAGGAGCAAUCCGCUUUGAGAUGGCCUCGCGUCCGAUUAGCUAGUUGGUGAGGUAACGGCCCACCAAGGCGACGAUCGGUAGCCGGACUGAGAGGUUGAACGGCCACAUUGGGACUGAGACACGGCCCAGACUCCUACGGGAGGCAGCAGUGGGGAAUAUUGCACAAUGGGGGAAACCCUGAUGCAGCGACGCCGCGUGGAGGAAGAAGGUCUUCGGAUUGUAAACUCCUGUUGUUGAGGAAGAUAAUGACGGUACUCAACAAGGAAGUGACGGCUAACUACGUGCCAGCAGCCGCGGUAAAACGUAGGUCACAAGCGUUGUCCGGAAUUACUGGGUGUAAAGGGAGCGCAGGCGGGAGAACAAGUUGGAAGUGAAAUCCAUGGGCUCAACCCAUGAACUGCUUUCAAAACUGUUUUUCUUGAGUAGUGCAGAGGUAGGCGGAAUUCCCGGUGUAGCGGUGGAAUGCGUAGAUAUCGGGAGGAACACCAGUGGCGAAGGCGGCCUACUGGGCACCAACUGACGCUGAGGCUCGAAAGUGUGGGUAGCAAACAGGAUUAGAUACCCUGGUAGUCCACACCGUAAACGAUGAUUACUAGGUGUUGGAGGAUUGACCCCUUCAGUGCCGCAGUUAACACAAUAAGUAAUCCACCUGGGGAGUACGACCGCAAGGUUGAAACUCAAAGGAAUUGACGGGGGCCCGCACAAGCAGUGGAGUAUGUGGUUUAAUUCGACGCAACGCGAAGAACCUUACCAAGUCUUGACAUCCCUUGACGAACAUAGAAAUAUGUUUUCUCUUCGGAGCAAGGAGACAGGUGGUGCAUGGUUGUCGUCAGCUCGUGUCGUGAGAUGUUGGGUUAAGUCCCGCAACGAGCGCAACCCUUAUGGUCAGUUACUACGCAAGAGGACUCUGGCCAGACUGCCGUUGACAAAACGGAGGAAGGUGGGGAUGACGUCAAAUCAUCAUGCCCUUUAUGACUUGGGCUACACACGUACUACAAUGGCGUUAAACAAAGAGAAGCAAGACCGCGAGGUGGAGCAAAACUCAGAAACAACGUCCCAGUUCGGACUGCAGGCUGCAACUCGCCUGCACGAAGUCGGAAUUGCUAGUAAUCGUGGAUCAGCAUGCCACGGUGAAUACGUUCCCGGGCCUUGUACACACCGCCCG
rnacentral:rRNA from 1 species